AUGGCUCGGUGGCCGCCGGGCUUCCCCGGCUUUCCCCUCCCUCCACCGACGUGGCCAUACCGUCCUUCCAUGCCGCCGCCGCCGCCACCGUCCGGCGGUUCGUCUCAAGGCAGGACCGUCGCCGGCACCUUCGGCGGCCUCGUCGCCUGCUUGCUCGUUGGCCUCGCCGUGUGCAGCCUCUGCAAGAGGCGUCGCAACAGCCGCGCCCGCGCCGCGGCCGCUCCGGCGCAGAGCGUGGCCGCAGCCGAUCGGGCGCAGAACCUGACGGAGAGCGGCGGCGUGCGCGUCGACGUGCGGCAGCUUCACCGGGCCUGCGCCGUCAGCCCGACGGCCGGGCUCCCGGCGUUCACGUACAGCCUGUCGGUGAAGCACAACGUGAGUGGCGGAGGGGAGGAGGCGGCGACGUGCUCGGUGUGCCUCGGCGCGAUGCAGGUCGGCGAGACGGUGCGGCUGCUGCCGGCGUGCCUGCACCUGUACCACGCGGAGUGCAUCGACCCGUGGCUGGACGCGCACUCGACGUGCCCGCUCUGCCGCUCCGACACCGACCCGGCCGCUGUAUAG
rnacentral:rRNA from 1 species